UGUGGACACUCAUUCCUCCAGUGGCCAUAUUGUCCACAGUUGAAACAAGUGUUCCUGUCUAUUCCUCCUUGGUUACCCCUGCCCCUAUAACCCUGAUUUCCCUGUCUCCAUCCCCUUGCUCCUCUUUGACCACCCCUUCCGCGGGCUUUAUGUGCUCCAUCCCAUCCUCGCUCUCAGCCUGUGUAGCUGGACAUAAUAUGUUGCAAUCCCUGAGCAUAAUAAGCAACCUUACUUUCCUAAAUCUUUUCUUAAGUCAAAACAACCUGCAUUUUCCUUUUCUAUAACCUUGGUAAGAAAAUCUGAGCUAUCCAAAUUGGCCCAGUCUGAAAUCAAUUGUUUCACAAGCAAAGAAUACUGUGGCAACAUAUUACCAAGGCAUGACUGUAUUUUAAGGAGAUCCAUAUCAUCUCCAGACAUCAAACCUGCCUCAUCCUUCCAACACUUGUAAAAUUUCUUUAGAAAAAUCAUAUUACCAAUCUCUUCCUUUGCAUCCUGCUUAUAUGCCAAAGCAGUGAAUAUAGACUGCUUAUUCUUCCAUAAUCCCAACAUUUCAGCUUCCACCUUGUUCCAAAUUUUAGCACAUCAUACUGAAGUACUAAGCUCAUAAUCACCAAUUCAUUUCAAACCAUAUAACUCAUACUCAGCAUCCAAUGUAAUAUUACACGUCAUCUCACAAAACAAUAUCUUUGUAAAAACACAUAAUGGGUACCCAGCAGAUAUGCCAAUACAGAAAUCACAUUUAUGGGCACACAACUACACACUCUGUCUCCCUCCUAGGAAACACGGAUAGACACAAUAUAAAAGCAAUCUUAAACUAACACCUCCAAAUCUCCAACUAUUCUUGGCCAAAACGCUAGUAUUCAACAACUAAUAAAACAGUUAUUUGCUAGGUUAUUUGGCUGUCAUUCUUAUCAGUAUCACUAGACUGUGACAAACUGAUUCACAUAUAAUUUAAAACAAUACAGCAACAUAAAUUAAACCACUUUCAAGUUAAACUGCACACUUCACACAUUAUCACAAUCACCAUUUACACAGAAUAAACAGUUAACAGCUGUAUUCAGAACAUAUUAUUGGAAAGUAUACCAAUUUUAGUUUAGAUUUAUUUUAGGGAUUCUUAUGUGUACAUUUUCUUAAUUAACUUCAUUACUUUAAUCUACUAUAGUAUUGUAUAUAAAGAAAGGAUCCAUUUAUAUAGCGCGCUCAUAACUCAACUAUUUGUAUAAAACUACCAUUAACUAAUCUGAGAUGAUGCUGCAUCAACUUAAAUCUUACAGAAAUUGAACAAACAUCUGGACCAGAUUAAACAGACAUGGUUUCACCUGAAUCUUUCAGAACUCUCAGAGACUUAAAAAUUUAUACUAUACCAUGUUUUAAAGGCAUGGCAAACCUUUAGACCGGUCAGUCUCCAAGAGCCC